rnacentral:rRNA from 1 species
AGAGUUUGAUCCUGGCUCAGGACGAACGCCGUCGGCGUGCCUAAUACAUGCAAGUCGAGCGAGCUUGCCUAGAUGAUUUUACUGCUAGGGCUAAAUGAUACUCCAUACGACCGACCGGCGGACGGCUGAGUAACACCCGGGUAACCUGCCCGAGACACUGGGAUAACACCUGUAAACAUAUGCUAAUACCGUAUAACACCACUAGACGCAUGUCGAAAAUUUGAAAGAUGGUUCGGCUAUCCCUCUUGGAUGGACCUGCGGGGCAUGAUCUCGUUGGUCAGGUAACAGCUUACCAAGGCAGUGAUGCAUAGCCGACUUGACAGACUGAUCGGCCACAUUGGGACUAACACACGGCCCAGACUCCUACGGGAGGUAGCACUAUGGAAUCUUCCACAAUGGACCAAAGUCUGAUGGAGCAACGCCGCCUGAGUGAAGAAGGGUUUAGGCUGGUGAAGGUAGGUUGCGUAUUGAAGAAAGAUAGACGUAUGUAACUGGCAUUUAUUUGACAGUACUUGCUCAGGAAGUCCCGGCUAACUACGUGCCAGCAGCCGCGGUAAUACGUAGGUGGCAAGCGUUGUCCGGAUUUAUUGGGUGUAAAGGGAGUGCAGGCGGUUCAAUAAGUCUGAUGUGAAAGCCUUGGGCUCAACCGGAGAAUUGCAUCAGAAACUGUCGUACUGGAGUGCAGAAGAGGAGAGUGGAAUUCCUUGUGUAGCGGUGGAAUGCGUAGAUAUAUGGAGGAACACCAGUGGCGAAGGCGGCUCUCUGGUCUGAAACUGACGCUGAGGCUCGAAAGCAUGGGUAGCGAACAGGAUUAGAUACCCUGGUAGUCCACGCCGUAAAC